GAUCAUGGCUCAGGACGAACGCUGGCGGCGUGCCUAACACAUGCAAGUCGAACGGAAAUGUUUGCUGAAUUGAAGGAAGCUUGCUUCUGAAUUUUCUUAAACAUUUUAGUGGCGGACGGGUGAGUAACGCGUGGGCAAUCUGCCUUUCACAGGGGGAUAACACAGGGAAACCUGUGCUAAUACCGCAUAAGACCACGGUAGGACAUCCUACAGAGGCCAAAGGAGCAAUCCGGUGGAAG
rnacentral:rRNA from 1 species